AACGCUGGUUGUAUUGCUAUAUGAAGUCUGUGUUUAGCUUGAAAAAAUAGUUUGCAUUUGGAAAACUAGUUCCUUUAUAAACCGCUUACCCACAAUUCCUUUUUCUCUUCCCUGUCAGAAACGCCGCCAUGAAGGUCGAGCUGUGCAGUUUUAGUGGAUAUAAAAUCUAUCCCGGCCAUGGUCGGCGGUACGCCAGGAUCGACGGAAAGGUUUUCCAGUUCCUGAAUGCUAAAUGUGAGUCUGCUUUCCUGUCCAAGAGGAACCCCAGACAGAUCAAUUGGACUGUUCUGUACCGGCGCAAACACAAGAAGGGCCAGUCUGAAGAGGUGGCUAAGAAGCGCUCCCGUCGUGCAGUUAAGUUCCAGCGGGCCAUCACUGGUGCCUCACUGGCUGAGAUUCUGGCCAAGAGGAACCAGAAGCCAGAAGUGCGUAAAGCGCAGAGGGAGCAGGCCAUCAGGCGCACUUCCGGAAAAACUUGGGAUGUGGCCGUUUCUCACAGCAAGAAGACAAACGUUUCUGGAGAGGCAGAGGGCAGCAAAACGAAACCCUGCUGGCUGGUUAUCCAGGAUACUCUGUCUGGCGCAUGCAAUGAUGACGCUGUGAAUAGUGACUAUUCUUUCUGACCAAUCAGCAGUCUGCUGUGUUUUCAUGUUACAUUUUAGUAUCGCCUCAGCUCGCUCAGAACCGAGUCGCGUCAAGAGCUGCAAAAGAGGCCAAGAAAGCUAAGCAGGCAACUAAGAAACAACCCACCCAGAGCGCCAAGGCCCCUGUUAAAGCUGCAUCCAAACAGAAAAUUGCCAAGCCCAUGAAGGUCAGCGCUCCUCGUGUUGGUGGCAAGCGCUAAGUUAAUGAUUUAGUGUUUUGUGUAUUA